rnacentral:rRNA from 1 species
UACGUAGGGGGCAAGCGUUGUCCGGAUUUAUUGGGCGUAAAGAGCGUGUAGGCGGCUUGGUAGGUCCGCUGUGAAAACUCGAGGCUCAACCUCGAGAUGUCGGCGGAAACCACUUGGCUAGAGUCCGGAAGAGGAGAGUGGAAUUCCCGGUGUAGCGGUGAAAUGCGCAGAUAUCGGGAAGAACACCUAUGGCGAAGGCAGCUCUCUGGGACGGUACUGACGCUGAGACGCGAAAGCGUGGGGGGCGAACAGG